rnacentral:pre_miRNA from 1 species
UAGAUCCUUCUCCUCCUUUAUUACUCGGACAACGUUUCGGAGCUUGUUGUGAAACGUUGUCCGAGUAAUAAAUGAGGACAAGGAUCUA